GAUGAACGCUGGCGGCGUGCUUAACACAUGCAAGUCGAACGAAGCACUUUAUUUGAUUUCCUUCGGGACUGAUUAUUUUGUGACUGAGUGGCGGACGGGUGAGUAACGCGUGGGUAACCUGCCUUGUACAGGGGGAUAACAGUUGGAAACGGCUGCUAAUACCGCAUAAGCGCACAGCAUCGCAUGAUGCAGUGUGAAAAACUCCGGUGGUAUAAGAUGGACCCGCGUUGGAUUAGCUAGUUGGUGAGGUAACGGCCCACCAAGGCGACGAUCCAUAGCCGACCUGGGAGGGGGACCGGCCACAUUGGGACUGAGACACGGCCCAAACUCCUACGGGAGGCAGCAGUGGGGAAUAUUGCACAAUGGGCGAAAGCCUGAUGCAGCGACGCCGCGUGAGCGAAGAAGUAUUUCGGUAUGUAAAGCUCUAUCAGCAGGGAAGAUAAUGACGGUACCUGACUAAGAAGCACCGGCUAAAUACGUG
rnacentral:rRNA from 1 species